rnacentral:rRNA from 1 species
GGACUACUCGGGUAUCUAAUCCCAUUCGCUACCCACGCUUUCGUGUUUCAGUGUCAGGAAUGCUCCAGUCUGCUGCCUUCGCUUUUGGUGUUCCCCAUGAUAUCAACGGAUUUCACCCCUACUCCAUGAGUUCCACAGACCCCUCGCACCCUCUAGUCAUACCGUUUCCGACGCCCGUCCGAGGUUGAGCCCCGGGCUUUAACGACAGACUAAUAUGACCACCUACACACCCUUUACGCCCAAUGAUUCCGGAUAACGCUUGGGGCACUCGUAUUACCGCGGCUGCUGGCAC